rnacentral:rRNA from 1 species
AACGAACGCUGGCGGCAUGCCUAACACAUGCAAGUCGAACGAUGCCUUCGGGCAUAGUGGCGCACGGGUGCGUAACGCGUGGGGAUCUGCCUUUCGGUUCGGAAUAACUCAGGGAAACUUGAGCUAAUACCGGAUAACGUCGCAAGACCAAAGAUUUAUCACCGAAAGAUGAGCCCGCGUAGGAUUAGCUAGUUGGUGAGGUAAAGGCUCACCAAGGCGACGAUCCUUAGCUGGUCUGAGAGGAUGAUCAGCCACACUGGGACUGAGACACGGCCCAGACUCCGACGGGAGGCAGCAGUGGGGAAUAUUGGACAAUGAGCGAAAGCCUGAUACAGCAAUGCCGCGUGAGUGAUGAAGGCCUUAGGGUUGUAAAGCUCUUUUACCCGGGAAGAUAAUGACGGUACCGGGAGAAUAAGCCCCGGCUAACUCCGUG